GCUGUGUCCUGCUUGCACCUCCUCCUCCUUCCACCAUGAGUGGAAGCUUCCUGAGGUCCCAACCAGAGGCAGAUGCUGGCGCCACGCUUCUUACACAGCCUGCAGCACCGUGAGCCAAUAAAUGUCUUUAUAAAUCACCCAGCGUCAGGUAUUCCUUCAGAGCAAUGCAAAUGAACUAAUACAGGACAUCGUGGGUGAAACUUGCCAGGAAAAUGUGAGGUUCCAGGAAAGUGUCCUCUUCCCCCAGGCGAGUUUACUUCGACUCAUGGGCAAGUGCUUCCCCAGAAGAGUCACCGAAUCAAAAAGGAGUUCACACGGGGUUAACCAGCUUUUCUACUAUAAACUGAAUGACCUGUGUGGAAGAAGAAGGAGAAGGAGAAGAAGAAAAGAAAAAAUGAAAGAGCAAGCAGCAAGCUCUUCCAACUUGGACACCUGGAAACACAAGGCAGGAGUGAGCCUCUGUGCCCUGCCGCCCUGAGACCUCUGCGUGUCCCCAGUAUCCCCAGCCACACGCAGGGGUGGGGAGAAGCGCACACCCAGCACACCGUGAGGCCAAGGCAGAGUGGAGAGGCCACCUGGAGCAGACAUGCCCAGCCAUCCGAGUCCCUCCAACAGCUUAAGCUACGCGCGCACAUCCCCACGAUUCAUCGGUAUGUCCACUGGUGGUAAAAUGGAGCUGUGAGACUGGGGAUUUCAUGCGCGUUUCAACCUUCCACCGAUUUUCCCCACAGUCCUGCUGUGGGCAAGAACUAGCCCUUCAUUACUGUGUUCCUAGUGGAUGUGUGAAAAUAAAGUGUGUGCCACACCGAUCACAUUUCCCCACACGCUGUAAGGCUGCACGCCACAUAAGACCUUUGCUUUCUGACACUAGGGGUGGGCUAUGGUGUUCAAAUCCGUUCUAUCCAAUUUGUCACAUGCAGGAGGCUCAUUCCGUGAGCAUGGACCUGUUCAGCAACAUGCUUCCCAGGUCUAAGUUUCCAUACUUUGUCCAAAUGUAAUAUAUGUAGAAAAAGUGCCACAAGUUAUGUGCAAGCUUUGUAAGUAUACUUUUGACAUUCUUUAAAAAUGUACAUUAUAGCAGAUUCUGUACUCUUUAAUGGACAAAUUAAUCUCUGUGGUUGCAAUAGCUUAUUAAACAGUCUAAUUUUUAAAGUGUUAUCUAAUUUAUUUAGCCUUUUAUGUGCAUUGCUGCAAAAUUAGAUAAGAAAAUGAGGUAGAUUUGGAAGACUCCAAUUCAUUGAAAAAUUUGGGGUUGAUGGACAAAUUAUUUAGCUUCCCCAAAAUUAGUGCAGAAUGCUGAGGUCCAAAGAGACCAUCAUAAACAGUCAAGGCCACGUGGUGUCUUAGCCUGGCUGACACUCACACCCUCAGCAAUGAGGGGAAGUUAGUUCACCUUCCUGAGUCCCAGUUUCCCAAUGUAUAUGAAAGGAGACUCAGUUAGAGUCAAAAUGUGAAACUCUGUGGUGCCAAUCUAUUCAUGAAAACUGCGUGGCAUCUAAACACUGCUAAGUAACCUGUGACUUUACAGGACUGGCAGAGAGCGCCCUGAUUUUAAGAGCUUUGCAGUCUGGUGGGGAAAGUCCAUGCCAUCUCACAGGGACCCCUGAGCUGCUGAGCUGUUCAAGAUGCUGAGACACCAGGGGACACAUCGAGGGGAAUCCUGAUGCAAUGCCCCCAGCCUGCAGGCGUCUCCUCCUGGGGACAGCGCACUACAGUGAACAAGAGCGUACGGUGGGCCCGGGACUGAGGGCCGGGGACAGCCAUGUCUGGGGAAGGUGAGGAGCUUUCUGAAGGCGCUCAAAGCUGGUUUCCCGGAAAAGGCCAGGUAAAAUACACGUGAAGUGCAAUGGAAAACCAAGGAGAGGAAGGCCCUGGAGCUGGGCCUUGGGAGAUGGGUGUGUCUGAUCACAGGACACAGCAGCAGGUGGAGCUGGGGUGACCACCAUCAAAUCCUUUCAUGCCCAGGAACACACCCUGAUCUCUAAGGUCGUUAGAAAAGAUGACUAUAACCCUGAUGGCCAUCAUGGCAGAGUAAAAUUAGUUUGCAAUGUUAGGAAAUCAGGUUGGGAUGUUAUGUUGAAUUCAGAAAACUAUCUUGUUAUUUUCAAUGCUCUGUAAAAUUUCAGAAUGUUCCUUGUGUAAACAACCAAAAUAAAAUGUAAAUUCAUUUUA